rnacentral:rRNA from 1 species
CAGCAGCCGCGGGAAAACGUAGGCGGCAAGCGUUGUCCGGAAUUAUUGGGCGUAAAGGGCUCGCAGGCGGUUUCUUAAGUCUGAUGUGAAAGCCCCCGGCUCAACCGGGGAGGGUCAUUGGAAACUGGGAAACUUGAGUGUAGAAGAGGAGAGUGGAAUUCCACGUGUAGCGGUGAAAUGCGUAGAGAUGUGGAGGAACACCAGUGGCGAAGGCGACUCUCUGGUCUGUAACUGACGCUGAGGAGCGAAAGCGUGGGGAGCGAACAGGAUUAGAGACCCGUGUAGUCCCUGUCUCUUAUAC